CUGACAGAAACAGGAAGUAGUUGUAUCACUAUGGGGACUGGGGAUGACAAGAAGUUGGCGGUUUCUUUAGCCAAACAUUCUUACUGGUUCGACUUUUGGGUUUUUAUGUUGUUCGACAUCGCAUUUUUUCUCUUCGUGUAUUUUGUUGUUCCAUAAACGGUUUCUGAAAUCUGGACAAGAUGAAAGGACCCAAGACUGUGGCUCAUCUGCAGAAGAGAUGACUGUUAAAUUGUCUGAUGGCUGUGUCCUGUGGCUUCAGCUGUGGCUUCAGCUGAUCUCUUGCUAACCUUUUACCACCGAAUCCAGUCCCUGCCCUGGUUCCGCACACCAGCGCUUUAAAACAUACCAUUAACAUUCCUUUCCAGACCCUAAUGCCUCUCCAGAACCUUGAGUAACAUGAAAUCAAUCCGGGCUAAGUUAUUUUUGUAUAUUUCACCUGAUAAUAAUUAGAAUAUUUGUGUGUGUGUGUGUGUGUGAGAGAGCAGAUUAUCAGUGUGAAUGAGUGAUAGAAUUGUACUGAAAAUAAAAUAAAAAACUAAGCUAUUUUCUGGAA